rnacentral:RNase_P_RNA from 1 species
GCAGAAGAGAGGUCUGUCGCUUCAUGCCGGGCGCAUGAAGAGGAAAGUCCGGGCAACAUAGAGCACCAUAUUUGUUAACGUCAAGCCGGCGGCGACGUCGGGGGAAAUGUGACAGAAAACAACCGCCUGCAGGCUUCAAAGCCUACAGGUAAGGGUGAAAAGGCGGGGUAAGAGCCCACCGGGUGCCAUGGCGACAUGGCAUGCCGCACAUCCUAUGGGUUGCAAGGCCAAAUACACCGGCAGCUAAGGGUUGCUCGCCCAUUGCCGGGGGGUAGGCUGCUCGGCGCAUUCGCGCCGGAGCCUUCUGGCAACAGAAGGUCAAGAUAAAUGACAGACGGGAACUUCUUCUCCGGAAGCAGUUCUUACAUAACCCGGCUUAUAUCUCUUCUGCAAUU